UUUCCGUAGGUGAACCUGCGGAAGGAUCAUUAGCGAACGCACUCACGGGCUUGUAACUCUUCCACACUUCUGUGAACAGCGCCUUGUGGCGCUAUUUUGCAAACUAGGUGUAAUGACCGUCUGAUAACAUAACAAAACAAAACUUUAAACAACGGAUCUCUUGGCUCUC
rnacentral:misc_RNA from 1 species